rnacentral:rRNA from 1 species
UACGGAGGGUGCAAGCGUUAAUCGGAAUUACUGGGCGUAAAGCGCACGCAGGUGGCUGAGUAAGUCGAUUGUGAAAGCCCUGGGCUUAACCUGGGAAUUGCAGUCGAUACUGCUCGGCUAGAGUAUGGGAGAGGGUAGUGGAAUUCCCGGUGUAGCGGUGAAAUGCGUAGAUAUCAAGAGGAACACCAGUGGCGAAGGCGAGUCCCUGGACGAUACCUGACACUGAGGCACGAAAGCCGGGGGAGCAAACAGG